UAUGAAAACACGGAAGGUACGUGGUUAUAUAAAUGCAGAAUCAUUUAUUUGUCACACUAAACAAAGCAGUAUAUGAAAGUUUUAUUCAUACAGGAAUUAAAAAAUGGAAUUUUCAUCUGAGACGCUAGAGUCGAAUUUUUCGCUUGAACUAUUUGAUUUUCUUUGCAAAAUUGUUGGCUCUGAAAAAGACGUCCGAGCACGAAGGAUAUUCUUUAAAGUGUUAGAUCAUGCUUUACAGUACAGUCUGGAGUGGCGAGUAGUGACUAGUGGAAGUAAAUCAGAAGGCUUAGACUUACCAGGAAGCGACUUGGAUAUUAUGUAUAUCAACCAGAGUGACACAGUAUACAAUACAAAAUCUGAAAUACCAAGUGACUUGCCGUAUGGGCUUUAUUUAGAUUUCCAAAAUACACCACCGGGAGCACAGUGUCCUUUCAAACUACUACAUACCACACAACAAUCUGAUAGAAGGAAUGGUUGAUGUACAGAAAAAGUUGUUACUUUCUGUUUUUGCUAAAUGUUUUCACCAACGGAAACAAUUUUCUUAGACAAAUACAAACUAUUUCCUCAUUUUUGUACCAUAGUGAAGCACCUUAUGAGUUAUCAAGAUCAAAACAUUCUAAUAUGGACUCUUCUUUUUAUCCGCUUUUUCAUUAUAUUCACGGGAUAGGAUUCGGGUGUAGUCGUACUAUUUAUCAGCCGAUUUAUUGUGUAAUGGCUUAUAGACAAUGUAAGUUCUUCAAGCACAUAAUAAUACAAAAUUAUAAGCAUAAUAAUAUAUUCUAUUCAAACUACAAGAAAUGCCUUCGGUAUAAAGUCCUAGGAACGUUUUCUGAUUCCUAUACAGGCUGGCUUUCACUAGCCGAAUUCUUUUUUCAAGGCAAACAGCUUAAGAAAACUUUACAGUUAAUUCAAUUAUGUCAAUCAAAAAGUUUGACUGAUCACGCCUGAUUUAAAGCCUCAUCCCAGGAGUGAAAUAUUAGAAAAAAAAUGUUAAAACUUCUACUGAAAUCAUUAAAUGUUUAGUUUUUUUAA